UACGUAGGUGGCAAGCGUUGUCCGGAUUUACUGGGCGUAAAGAGCGCGCAGGCGGUCAGAUAAGGCGAAUGUGAAAGCCCCCGGCUCAACUGGGGAGGGUCAUUCGAUACUGUUCGACUCGAAGGCAGGAGAGGGAAGUGGAAUUCCCGGUGUAGUGGUGAAAUGCGUAGAUAUCGGGAGGAACACCAGUGGCGAAGGCGACUUCCUGGCCUGUUCUUGACGCUGAGGCGCGAAAGCUAGGGGAGCAAACGGG
rnacentral:rRNA from 1 species